CCCGGCGAUCUCACAUUUGCUUGUGGCUGGUGCCAGCUACAAGCGCCAUUUACAUUCCAAUCAUCCCAAAAUUUAAAUUUCUAGAUCAGCUUGCUUUUCUGAAUUCCAGAUGCAAAUGAUCUAAUUGUCCAUUAACAUUCCCACUUGCACUUCUUAGGGGCACUCUGCUAAUCCUCUCUCUCUGCGGCUGCUUGUUGCUUCCUGUCGUGGACUGUAGUUUUCUUCCCCAGCACUUGCCAGUUUACAGCCAGUCACUCCGGGUGGCCAGUGUCUUUCUCCUUCCUCGCCUGUAACCUCACAGGACUGCAGGAGCCUUGCUUGUUUGCCUCACCACUGCAUCCCAAGGAUGUAGCAGAGUGCCUGACACAUGGCAACCAAGCACAGAGAUCCUUGAGAGAUGAAGAAAAAACAAGAUGAGUCCUCUAACAGCUCAGCUUACUGUUUUGAGGACAUUUUCAGGUGUAGCAUGGGGAGGAGAAGCUCAGAAGACUCUCUGAGUUAAGGAGAUUGAACAAAGCAUCAAGGAGGACCAAAGCAUUUGGAGUAUAGAGUACCAGAGUAUAUAAAGCUCUAAGUGAGAGAACCCUGAAGAAUUAUAGAAGGUUCCCCUUAACUAUUCAACAGAGUACAUACAGACCAACGCAGAUAUGCGAGGAAACUACUUGGAGCUAGGAAAAGAACCAUUUGAAAAGAUUAGAGGAAAUAGUACUGAAUGCUCAUACAGGACUGGGGACUCUGACUGCUUCAAUCAACAAUGCUAGAAAACUCAACCCGUUGGGUGUUGGGUAGAGUACUUGGUAAGGUCUUACCUCUGUUGCAAGGAAUGACUGGCCCUAGACAUAGCACUGGUCUAGACAUGCCUACCAAAUCAUAGUUGCAAGACUGAAAAAAAAUCAAGUUGUUUGUAAGAAAUUUAACAGCAUCACAGAACAAAAUUCAAGAAUAUUUAGAGGAAUACAAAAAUGUCCCACACUGAAAAAGACAAACUUUUCAAUGUCAGACAGCUAAUCAAAGAUUACCAGACACACAAAGAAGCAGGAAACUUCUCCUAUAUGAGUCACAUGGGAGAAUACACAUAUAAUUAAAACUGACCCAGAUGUUAGAAUUCGCAGAAAAAUUUAUUAUAAAGUUAUAACAUUCCAUGUUUUCAAAAAGUUAAGUAGAGACAGGGAAGAUGUAGAAAGAAACUCAAAUUGAAUUUUUAUAAAGAUGGAAACAAUAAUGUCUUCAGUGAAAGCACAUAGGAUGGGAUUAGCAAUGGUUUAGACACUGCAGAAGUACAUAUUAAUGUGCUUGACGACAUAAUAACUUUAGAAAGUAAAACACAAGGAAGAUAUUAAGAAAAGAGCAUCAGUGGACUAUGAGUAAACUUCAAGUGAUGUAAUAGAUAUAUAACUGUAGGCCUUAAAGGCGUAGGAGAACAGAAAAAAUAGUUAAAGGAAUAAUGAUCAAUCAUGAUGAAAACUAUAAACAUGCAGAUUCAAAAAUUAUCAACCCCAAGCAAAAAGUGAAGAAAACUACACCAAAGCCAUCCAGAAUCUACAAGGAAAUCAAAUAAGCAAGAAAAAAGCAGUUCUGUCAAAAAGUGGGCUAAGGACAAUGAAUACACAAUUCUCAAGAGAAGAUACACAAAUGGCCAAGAAACAUGAAAAAAUGCUCAACAUAGUUACCAGGGCAAGGCAAAUCCAAACCACCCUGUGAUACCACCUUACCCACAAGAAUGGCCAGAAUUAAAAAAUAAAAGAUGUUUUUUUUUGUGGUGAAAAGGGAACACUUUUACACUGUUGGUGGGUUGUAAACUAGUACAACCACUAUGGAAAACAGUGUGGAGAUUCCCUAAAGAACUAAAAGUAGAUCUACCAUUUGAUCCCGCAAUCGCACUACUGGGUAUCUACCCAGAGGAAAAGAAGUUAUUAUAUGAAAAAGAUACACUUUCAGAUGCAUAUUUAUAGCAGCACAAUUUGCAUUUGCAGAAAUAUGGAGCCAGCCGAAAUGCUCAUCAAUCAAUGAGUUGAUAAAGAAAAUGCGGUGUAUAUAUAUGUAUAUAUAUAUUAAAAAGUUAUAACAUUCCAUGUUUUCAAAAAGUUUAGUAGAGACAGGGAAGAUGUAGAAAGAAACUCAGGAAUGAGAAACAUCAUAUGUUCUCACUUACAAGUGGGAGCUAAGGUAUGAAGACACAAAGGCAUAAGAAUGGUACAAAGGACUUUGGAGACUCAGGGGAAAGAGUGGAGGUGGGUGGGGGAUAAAAGACUUCACAUCAGGUAGAAUGUUUACUGCUUGGAUCACAGGUGCACCAAUAUCUCAGAAAUCAGCACUAACGGGCUUAUCCAUGUAACCAAACAUGAACUGUUCCCCAAAAACCUAUUGAAAUAAAAAAAUAAGUAAAAAUUGCUUAAAUGCAAUGAUAAAAAUAAAACCUUAGAAGCAGCCAGAAAAAAAAAA
rnacentral:lncRNA from 1 species